GAUCAUGAAGCCUCUGAUUAAGCCACUGGGACGCACGCACUAACGAGCCUCCUGCUCAGCCUAAUGAGCAGCGUGGCCAUGGGGGGGCGAGGGGGAGGCGCUGCAGCCUCCCUGGCGAGGGGGGCACCCCGCACGGCCCCCGCUUCGGCCCAGAGCCCCCAGUGCUCUGAGCGACCUCCUGCCGUCCCAAAGCCAAGGGCCACCUUGCUCCCUCCACCGGGCUAGAGGCGCAGCCUGCCCUCACUCAUGGCCCCGUGUGCCAGCGUGGACCCCCACGGCUGGCAGGACACCCAGGCCUGGAUAGCAAAUGCUCUGGCUGCUUGGCACCUGUGCAAUGAGUGUGCCAGGCCUCUGGCACUCCACUCUCAGGACUCUCCGCGGUGCAGGGCUCAGGCACACUUGUCCCCAAUGGGGGGGGGUGGCCAAAUGUGUGCCCGUGCGUGCACAAGCACACACACGUGUGCACACGCUUGCCUGCUCAGAUGCUGGCUUGGUGCAAGCUUUUCCGGAGGCCCCCCAGCCCGGGAAGGUCGCCCUGCCCUUUACACUCAUUAACUGUCCGGCUUCUCAGCCCGCGCGGCCGGGGGGGCUCGGCCGCGCCACAGAGCCAGGGAGCCACGGGGAGCCCAGGCGUCCGAGCCGUCUCGGGCAGUGCCCAGCGUGGCCGAGCAGCCCUGGCCAAGCGGGUGGCGAUUGCCAACGCCGCAGCGGCCCCGUCCCCAGUUCACAUAUGGGGCUGGGGUCCAACCUGGCACCGGGCUGCGAAUGGGGAGCCACCCCCAGCUGCACCCCUGCGAGGACACAGCCUCUGCGGAGGCGCCUGCCCCCCCCCUCCCCAAAUUGGCCGUGCUUGUGCUCCCUUGCAGGCCCAGGAGCUGCCUGGUGUGGGGACGGGAGGGCACAUGGGGGGGGGGCAAAGGUGCCCCCUGCACCCACGAUCCCCCACCGUGACCCUGCCACACAUCAGCCAAAGCAAGAGGUGCCCGGGUGCAAGCGCGCCGGGCGAAGCCGCAGCNNNNNNNNNNNNNNNNNNNNNNNNNNNNNNNNNNNNNNNNNNNNNNNNNNNN
rnacentral:lncRNA from 1 species